rnacentral:rRNA from 1 species
ACGAUGACUUUUGUGCUUGCACAAAAUGAUUAGUGGCGAACGGGUGAGUAACACGUGAGUAACCUGCCCUUAACUUCGGGAUAAGCCUGGGAAACCGGGUCUAAUACCGGAUACGACCUCCUGACGCAUGUCAUGGGGGUGGAAAGCUUWAUGCGGUUUUGGAUGGACUCGCGGCCUAUCAGCUUGUUGGUUGGGGUAAUGGCCCACCAAGGCGACGACGGGUAGCCGGCCUGAGAGGGUGACCGGCCACACUGGGACUGAGACACGGCCCAGACUCCUACGGGAGGCAGCAGUGGGGAAUAUUGCACAAUGGGCGAAAGCCUGAUGCAGCGACGCCGCGUGAGGGACGAAGGCCUUCGGGUUGUAAACCUCUUUCAGCAGGGAAGAAGCGAAAGUGACGGUACCUGCAGAAGAAGCGCCGGCUAACUACGUGCCAGCAGCCGCGGUAAUACGUAGGGCGCAAGCGUUAUCCGGAAUUAUUGGGCGUAAAGAGCUCGUAGGCGGUUUGUCGCGUCUGCUGUGAAAGCCCGGGGCUCAACCCCGGGUCUGCAGUGGGUACGGGCAGACUAGAGUGCAGUAGGGGAGACUGGAAUUCCUGGUGUAGCGGUGAAAUGCGCAGAUAUCAGGAGGAACACCGAUGGCGAAGGCAGGUCUCUGGGCUGUAACUGACGCUGAGGAGCGAAAGCAUGGGGAGCGAACAGGAUUAGAUACCCUGGUAGUCCAUGCCGUAAACGUUGGGCACUAGGUGUGGGGGACAUUCCACGUUUUCCGCGCCGUAGCUAACGCAUUAAGUGCCCCGCCUGGGGAGUACGGCCGCAAGGCUAAAACUCAAAGGAAUUGACGGGGGCCCGCACAAGCGGCGGAGCAUGCGGAUUAAUUCGAUGCAACGCGAAGAACCUUACCAAGGCUUGACAUGAACCGGAAAGACCUGGAAACAGGUCCCCCACUUGUGGUCGGUUUACAGGUGGUGCAUGGUUGUCGUCAGCUCGUGUCGUGAGAUGUUGGGUUAAGUCCCGCAACGAGCGCAACCCUCGUUCUAUGUUGCCAGCGCGUUAUGGCGGGGACUCAUAGGARACUGCCGGGGUCAAUUCGGAGGAAGGUGGGGACGACGUCAAUCAUCAUGCCCCUUAUGUCUUGGGCUUNNGCAUGCUACAUGGCCGGUACAAGGGUUG